GAAGUAUAUGAAUUAAAGGUAAGCUUCUAACUUAACCUUUUAGCAGUGGAAAUCUGUUAAUACUUCU
rnacentral:tRNA from 1 species